rnacentral:hammerhead_ribozyme from 1 species
GCACUGCUGAGGAGUCCCAUACUAGGACGAAACGGCUGUCGAGUGC